UUUGCCAUCCAUAAACGUGGAAGUGUGAUUUCUUCAAGGGGAACGGACCUAGCCGGGAGAUGUCGACGUGGCAGCUGCUCUCCGCCGACGGGGACGACUGCCGGUGGGAGCUCUCCGGCGGUCCACCAACAACUCGUCCCGACGAUGAAGUAAACGGAGCUCCAGCUGAAGCAGUCUCUCGUCUCCCUUCGAUGUCCGAUCUCUUGCUUCAAGGGUGUUCGAAGAUUGUAGAGAGCAAUAGUGGCAGCUCGACCUCUGGGAGCUCGCCGAUGUUCCGCACGGGUUUGGGGAAAUCGGUGGCUGUGAAGCAGUCUUCCGUAGCCAAAGCCUUGCGUGUUCUUGCGGAUGAUGAUUUGCCUCAUACUGGUCAAGUGGAUCCCGAAAGUCAUACACCUGCCAGUAAUUCUCUUUUCCAGACUGGAUCAGGCAAAAUGGUGAAUGUUUCAUCGGCAGGUCUAGUCAAGGCCAAGACAUUGUUGGGCUUGGGAGAAGAUGAUGACCACUGUGCUUCUCAAGGCCUUGGGAUUUCAAAACCAUUCUCCAAUAAUAAUGGAUAUAGAUCUCUAAAUUCGUUGCCUAGGGUGAAAGGUGGUGCAAACGUUGCUGAUGUGAUGGAAGGGGAAUCAAUUUCAGGUUCUGGAUCGACUUGCCAAAGUGGUUCAGCUGAAAAUAGGUUGAAGCUCCUAGCUUAUCCUAAUAGCGUGCAGCCGAAGACGCACGACUUGCCUGCAAAACCAGCUGCAAUCAAGUUCCAUACAGCUGGUGGAAGAUCCCUUUCCAUUUCCAGUGAUGCACUGAAACGUGCUAGGAGUCUUCUUGGUGACCCCGAGUUAGGGAGUUUCUUGAACGAGGGGAGAUUAUGCAACGAUCCAUCAAAGAAAGAAAAUGAACCCCCCAUUUCCCUUCAGUAUCAAGGAACCCCAAACCAUAAAGAUGCGACAAAGAGUUUUAUAUCUCCUCUCCUGCGUUUAUCUUCUGAUGGAGAACGUUCAUUAAACUCAUCGAAGAAAAUAAAAGAGGGAAGUAACUUGAUUGCUCAAUUCAAUGCAGCAGCCAGCGAGUGUCCUUAUAGGUUUGGUUCUGAUUCAGGUUCUCCCAAGAGGCCCUUGAUGGAGAGAUCUUAUGCACCCGUUGAUCCUUCUGUGGUAAAAGAUUGUGAUUCACGGAGUAAUUGUCAUGCUAGCCCACGAGGUCAGGUCCUGUUGGAUAUAUCGAACAUAACUCGUGUGAAUUAUUCCAGCAACGAAAAUAAUGUCUCUGAAAAGAGAUUUGGUGGUAAUAGUUCUAUCUCCCCAUUCAAGAGGCCUCGCAGUUCCAAAUUUAACACCCCUUUGAAGAGGAAUAGCUCACUGGCUCCUAGUGCCUCAUCAAAGUCAUCUGUUCAAGCCCCCUCAAAGGGAAGGGUCUCCACUCGGUAUCCAUUUUUGCUUCCAAGAGUAUCCAUGAAGGAGUAUUUCGGGGGGCCUCCAUUAGACAUGGCUCCCACAAACAGCAUAGGAGGUGUCACUUCGGACAAUGCUGGAAAUUUCAUGUUUUCCAAUGAAUCUGGUUUGAAUUGUAUCGGGGCAGAAUCUUUCUAUGACAUGUUGAUCCAGUCUGGAGCAUCUGCAGAACAUAUUUCUAAAAUAUGGGUCACCAAUCAUUAUAGGUGGAUAGUUUGGAAACUUGCCUGCUAUGACAGAUGCUAUCCAGCCAAAACUGUUCGGAAAUUGUUGACUAUUUCAAAUGUGCUUGAGGAACUGGAGUACAGAUAUGAAAGAGAGGUAAACCAUGGCCACCGUUCUGCUAUCAUGAGAAUUCUGGAAGGAGUUGCAUCACCUUCUUCGCUGCUUGUUUUAUGUGUUUCUGCUAUAUGCUCCAAUUGCUACCCAACGACUGAGGGUCCCUCCAUGGCAUCUGAAGGUGACAAAAACAAAAUGAAAGUUGAACUGACUGAUGGUUGGUACUCGGUCAAUGCAGUUUUGGACAUCGUAUUAUCAAAUCAUUGUAAUUCGGGAAAAGUGUUCGUGGGCCAGAAACUUCAGAUCUGGGGAGCAACGUUGUGUGGCUGGGCUGCUCCUGUUUCACCCCUAGAGGCAACAAAGACAGUUAGUCUAUUGUUACAUGUGAAUGGGACUUAUAGAGCUCACUGGGCUGAUCGACUAGGAUUCUGUAAGGGCCGUGGUGCCCCUUUGGCAUUUAGAUGCAUCAAAAGUAAUGGCGGUCCAGUGCCUCAGACAUUAAUUGGAGUAGCACGAGUGUACCCUAUUCUCUACAGGGAGAGGUUAAGUGGCAGGGGCUCCAUCAUUAGAUCAGAACGGAUGGAGAUGAAAACUAGGCAGAUGCAUAACCAGAGGCGUUCAACAAUUAUAGAUGGUGUUAUUUCUGAAAUCCAAAGAGCCAAAGACAUCCAUCUCUAUAACGACAGUGACAGCGAGGAAGGAGCAAAAAUAUCAAAAAUACUCGAAACAGCUGCAGAGCCUGAACUACUAAUGGCAGAGAUGAGUCCUGACCAAUUGAAUGCUUUUGCCACUUUUCGUUCGAAGAUAGAGGCGACCAGGCAAUCAGACACUGCAAAACUAAUCGAGAAAGCUCUGCAAGAUGCUGGCUUGAGUGAGAGAGAAGUUACUCCAUUUAUGAGGGUGAAGGUGGUUGGUUUAAGAAGCAAAAACUGUGGAAGAAACAGCGGUCCUGAAGAAGGAUUGAUAACAAUCUGGAACCCAACUGAAAGGCAGCAACAUGAUCUGGUGGAGGGACAGGCAUAUGUUUUUUCAAGGCUGAAUCCAAUAAACUCUCCUUCAGAUACCCUUUAUCUACAGUGUAGAGGAUCCACUACAAAAUGGAGGCCUCUGACUUCACAAGAGAUGAAAAAUUUCAGGCCAUUCUUCAAACCUCGUGAAGCCAUCUCUCUGUCUAGAUUGGGUGAAAUUUCCCUUUCCAGUGAGUUUGAUAUUGCUGGAUAUGUUGUCUACGUUGGGGAAGUCUUCACAGAUGCUCAGCAAAGAAGGCAGUGGGUGUUCGUUACAGAUGGCUCCAUAGCUGAUUUUUAUACAGAAGAAUCAUCAAAUUCAUUACUUGCCAUCUGUUUCUGCUCGCCGUACAUUGAUGACUUGUCCUUCGCUCCAAUUAACUCUAACCUUGUUGGGUCUACUGUUGGCUUCUGUAAUCUGAUUAAGAGAGCAAAGGACCACUUAAAUCACCUCUGGGUAGCGGAAGCGAGGGAAAACUCAACCUAUUUUCUCAGUUUCGAUUCACCACAUUGUUCUCAUCUUAAAGAUGCCGCCCUCUCGACUCAAGGAUGGGCAAAGACCUCUGAAUCGGCCAUCAACACACUAAAGGAGGGGGUUUCAUUUAUUAUUGGCAACUGGAAAGGCUGAGGUGGUAAAGAAGUCAAUAUCAUAUCGGACAUGGUACUCUUUGCACUUACUAGUAACGACCAUGGCAUCGGUUGCCGGUCCCAAAAGAUAAACACCUGGUGUGCUGCUGAAGCUCUAUCCCUAAGAGGACACAGAAGCGUGUUCAGAGCCUGUACCAUAUUCUUUUCUCUCCAUCGGCCGAUUAUACGUGCAUUAUGAUGCUCGCGACCAGGUUUACAGUCGGUCACUUUCACAUUCCAUUUGUCAUCUAGCUGAUGUGGCCUUUGUAAAUAAACAUUUGAAGAGGUCAUUGAUUUCCUCAAAUUCGCGGAGGAUAUCUGCUUCCUUCUAAAGAAAUGGAAAAAGUGGAUCGUUGCGAUUGUGAUUAGUCUCGGCGAAAGAAGAAUUAUUUGUUGGUUAUCAACCAUUAAUAGUUUGAGUCGGGAAAGGUCACGCAAAAGUAAAGGUCCAAAGUGGAAUCUCGCUCUCUUUCACGAAUUACCGAUUUUGGCAAAACGGAAACGGAAAUGGUACGGAUGUGAGGCGGCGGGCUGUACGGCCGGCAACAACAUUCCCGACAGGUACUCUGUUCUGUUAUGAAAACAGCAUCGCAGGAAAAAUCGAGAAGUAAUUAAUUACCAUAAAAUGGAUUAUCAAACUCUACUCGAAUAGGUUGCCCCAAAAAGGGAAAAAACAGAAAAAGAAAGCCCAAAUGGAAUACUAUAGUCGAUCGUGGUAUCGGAUUGUAAUCAGGGCAGUCGUAAUUGGCGGAACUUAAAUAUAUUGGACAUUGGUUCAAUUUUACCAAACUGUGAUGGACUCGUGCAUAAGAUAUAGGAAACAGUCUUGAAGAUAGUUUUCGUGGAUUACAUUACCGGAAACGCGAUGGUUAUUUAGAGCAUUUGCCAAGAACUCUGACUGUGUCGAAUUAAUAGUUUCAGAGCUGAUUUUAUCGUUUACGUUUGAUUCUUUUUUGUUACGAUACCUUUAUAGACAGGGAAACAAAUCGUACAAACAUAUCAUAAUGAUUGGAGAAUUUUUUUUUUUUAAAAAGCCUUCACGAUAGUACCAUAAUAUUCCUUUUUUUUUUUUGGGUUUCAAAUAUCCCAACUCUAUAAAUGGAAACCGUCUCAAUGAUCAUCGAGUGGAAAAGCCAUUACAAAGACAAAUUAGAAGAAUACUAAUUAAUAUAUUAUAUGGGGGUGGAAAAUAAGAGUGCCGUGUUAAGAGGCUGCAUCAAGGCUACUAGGGGUCCUUGGCUCGUGCGCAGGACCGACAAAGGUGGGCGAGUCGCGACAAGGUUACGGUUCCCUUCGGAAAGAGAGAGACUGAACAACAAGCAGAGGGAGAAGAAGAGGCGGGACAUGGCUAGGAAGAUCUUCACAGGGCUCCGAGCUCACAGGAAUUACGGCUUGCCGCUACAUGCCGAUAACAACGACCUACUGAUGGCUCUGUGCAAGGAGGCGGGCUGGCACGUCGAAGAAGACGGGACCAUCUUUAGGAAGGUUCGGUCGGAAACACCAACAUCGAGCUCUUGUGCCACUUCAUCGGAAAAUCUCGACCACUGUAAUUGUGUUGAAUACGGGCACACGACACCAGCAGCAGGAGUCUUUUCAUCAAAAACUGCGUCUUCAUCAUCAAUAGACAGCAAGCGUGAUGAAGAUGUGGAUCUUACGCUGUCGCUGUGAAGUAUGAGGCAAAAUGGAGAUGGUUAAAUAUACGGUCAGAAGCUUGUAGUUGUUCAUUAUGGCUAAUGCAAUGCCACUCAUUCAUUCCAGAACGAAACGAUAUUAAUUCGAGAAUACCAAUAGAAUUUUCUCUCUAAUAAAGUAAUGCUUUCGUAUGA